UACAGAGGGGGCAAGCGUUAUUCGGAAUUAUUGGGCGUAAAGAGCUUGUAGGCGGUUUGUCGCGUCUGCUGUGAAAAUCCGGGGCUCAACCCCGGACUUGCAGUGGGUACGGGCAGACUAGAGUGUGGUAGGGGAGACUGGAAUUCCUGGUGUAGCGGUGAAAUGCGCAGAUAUCAGGAGGAACACCGGUGGCGAAGGCGGGUCUCUGGGACGGUACUGACGCUGAGACGCGAAAGCGUGGGGAGCGAACAGG
rnacentral:rRNA from 1 species